GGAAAGGCGGCAGCUCAGUGGUAGAGAAUCUGCCCUGCAUGCAGAGGGUUCCAGGUUCGAUUCCCAGCAUUUCUA